AUGAUGCAGCAGUACAGGGAAGGCCAUCACAUGGGAACUGGAGAGAUGCCAACAUGGAGACACAGAGAAUGCAAGGAUCAGGUGCCAAGUUCCAGAGGUGUGGACUCCAACCAUAACUGGGAGGACUUCAGGGGCCUCCGUCCCCCAGGGAAUUCAACUGCUGAGUCAUAUGUUCCUGAGAAAAGUUCUUCGGAAGGCCUGAGGGGCAGCAAAGCGUCAGAACAAGCAGGUUCAAGUUAGAAUUAGGCUUCUGUUAGGUUCUCCUCUCUACGAGCAGCAGCUAUAAAAAAAAUGAGCAGAAACCAACUGCCCCUCUCCCUACUCCAGGACUUCCCUCUGACAUUUUCCCCACCCCACCCCCAAUUAAAAAAAAGCAUCACAUUGAUUAAUAUGCUUAAUCAAGCACAUUAACCCCUGCUUGCCUGAAUAUGUCCCAAACCCAGUCCUGGAUAAUGCCACAAUUCUUGCGAUAGUUUCUAGCCUUCUGGCCCCCACCUAGGUAUAGGAAAGUAACCCUUUCUAGAUGGGCAACUAAACAGUUUGCCAUUUUCCUGCCCUGAAGGCUAAAGUGCUGACUUGAAGUCAUGAGAAUCUCCUGUGGACCAGUAAGUUGGCCGCAGCAAUCGCGGACAAGCAUACUUGGCCUCUCUACUUAACUCACUAUUGCAAAAUGGCUUCAGAGAUACUGUGUGAAAUUAGGAAAAGUGUUUGGAGUAGGAGAUGGAGGGGGAACAGAGAGUAGUUCUGUUCCUAAGGGAGAGUUUCCCUAUACUGUAGCUAUCUGGGAGCCAAGGAAAUAGAAAGACCAGCUGUUGCCCCCAAUGCACCCCAUGCCCGAUUCCAGCCAGAAUCUUCUCCUGGCAACUACUCUGGCUUAAGCGAUCAUCCUUUGGGGAGGUGGGGGCGGGAACAUUGAGUAGCACGGGAAUCUCACUCUAGCAGAAACAAGGACCACAUGGAAAUUAAUCUCAGCCCCACAGGGCUCCAGGAGAAGCCCAGGUAUUCCGUGCCAGGUCCUCAGUGGGGGGGGGGAAUGCUCCAAAUUAGCACCUUCUGGGCUCCAGGGUAGAGGUGGCCAAUAAAGGAGUCACCUACUGGUCUGAGUACCA
rnacentral:lncRNA from 1 species